rnacentral:rRNA from 1 species
AGCGUUGUCCGGAAUUAUUGGGCGUAAAGAGCUCGUAGGUGGUCUGUUGCGUCCGCUGUGAAAACUCGGGGCUUAACGCCGAGCCUGCAGUGGAUACGGGCAGACUAGAGGUAGGUAGGGGAGAAUGGAAUUCCUGGUGUAGCGGUGAAAUGCGCAGAUAUCAGGAGGAACACCUGUGGCGAAAGCGGCUCACUGGACCAUAACUGACGCUGAUGCACGAAAGCUAGGGGAGCAAACAGG